rnacentral:rRNA from 1 species
GAUCAUGGCUCAGGAUGAACGCUGGCGGCGUGCCUAACACAUGCAAGUCGAACGGAGUGUUGAGAGCUUGCUUUGACACUUAGUGGCGGACGGGUGAGUAAUGCGUGAGCAACCUGCCUUUCAGAGGGGGACAACAGUUGGAAACGACUGCUAAUACCGCAUAACGUAUUUGGGUGGCAUCACCUGGAUACCAAAGGAGCAAUCCGCUGAAAGAUGGGCUCACGUCUGAUUAGCUAGUUGGUGGGGUAACGGCUCACCAAGGCUGCGAUCAGUAGCCGGACUGAGAGGUUGAACGGCCACAUUGGGACUGAGAUACGGCCCAGACUCCUACGGGAGGCAGCAGUGGGGAAUAUUGGGCAAUGGGCGAAAGCCUGACCCAAGCAACGCCGCGUGAAGGAAGAAGGUCUUCGGAUUGUAACUUCUUUAUGAGGGACGAAGGACGUGACGGUACCUCAUGAAUAAGCCACGGCUAACUACGUGCCAGCAGCAGC